GUGUACGCCAACCAAAUUUUGAGAGUUCGUUUUGGUAGAAUGAGCUUGCAAGUACAAGCCAUUGCCUAGGACUAGAGACCAAUCAUAUAUAACUGUCCAUAUUAUAUAAUUAAUCGCAAACUCAAACACAUAGUUCAGCCUGGGUCACACAUCAGUGACCCAAGGAUCUCGUUGCCACCUGAUGUCGGGCCAAACUAACGCCAUGGUCGUGUGUUAUAGUUUGCGAUUUUUAAGAGAUUGAACUGUUCAAUAUCCAAAUUGCCAAGUCAAUGGAGGAUGCUUUGCACUCCGCGCAGCACUUUGACUUCUUAUUUUACAGGUACUCUUUCGAGGGACUUAUUGGUGUCGGUUCUGGGGGCUUCUCCAAAGGCGUGAAGAGGACAUCGUAAGGAUCAAAGUUGCCUGCAGGACCCUGGAAGUCUCAAUGAUGCAAAUCUUCGCCAAGCACGGUUGGAGCUUUAGAAAUAGAAUAACUAGUGGCUAGUUAUUCAAUCCCAACUGUGCUUGGGUCUUUUUGCCGCUUGUGGCUUCUUUUAUUUUCUGGCAGUACUACUGUUUUUUGGACGGCCGUCAUCUUUGAUGUAGGCCGGGAACCUUUUUCCCAUUAUCUAAAAAAAACAGUUUGACACUCUAUUUAUAUA